rnacentral:rRNA from 1 species
AUUGAACGCUGGCGGAAUGCUUUACACAUGCAAGUCGAACGAUGAAGCCUAGCUUGCUAGGUCGAUUAGUGGCGAACGGGUGAGUAAUAUAUCGGAACGUAUCCAAUAAUGGGGGAUAACUAGUCGAAAGAUUGGCUAAUACCGCAUACGUCCUACGGGAGAAAGCUGGGGAUCGUAAGACCUGGCGUUACUGGAGCGGCCGAUAUCUGAUUAGCUAGUUGGUGAGGUAAAGGCUCACCAAGGCGACGAUCAGUAGCUGGUCUGAGAGGACGACCAGCCACACUGGAACUGAGACACGGUCCAGACUCCUACGGGAGGCAGCAGUGGGGAAUUUUGGACAAUGGGCGAAAGCCUGAUCCAGCCAUUCCGCGUGAGUGAAGAAGGCCUUCGGGUUGUAAAGCUCUUUCGCAAGGGAAGAACACUUACUUAAUAACACUAAGUGAGGUUGACGGUACCUUGAUAAGAAGCACCGGCUAACUACGUGCCAGCAGCCGCAGUAA